ACUUGUGCGUGACAUCUGGAUGCCAUUCUGGUUUACAUCAUAGACAUAAAGUGCUUUAUGUCUAUGGUUUCCAUUCAAGAAGAGUUGAUCUCAAAGAAGCUUCUUUUGUGGUGGUAACAGUUUAUUCAUAAAGAACGUUGUAGGAAUGUCCAAAUAUACGUCAAAACUUCCGUCAAUUGUUAACGAAUAAAAUCAAAAAAGAGACAAUUUUCAAUUCUGCAUUUCGAAGACGAUUAAGAAUAUACAAUAAGAUCUCGACAUGGAUGAGGUGAGGCCAACCUCCAAAAGUAUAUGUAGAUAGUACCGAUUUGUCGCAGUGGUGCACCAGUUAACUGUGUACUGAAAUUACAAACACCUUCAAGAAAGUUAUUUUGAUUAGCAAUAUCAUGACACCAACUACUAUGGCUUUCCUGUAGCCUAACUUUUGAAGACAAUUCCUCAGUUUAACAGCUUGUGUGCGAAUUGCAUGGAUUUAAGAUUGUUAAUCAUUGUGCAACUAAAAUGGCGCCAUUACGUUAAUAGUAAAUAUUUUGUCUGAAAUUCAAUGGAACUUCCUUCAGUAGGUCAAAUUAAUUACGAAACAUGAAAAUUGAUGCUGAACGUGACUUUCCACAGUCACAUGUGGGUUAUUAUCAGACCAACAUAAAUUUGUGUUUUAUUUCUACAAUAUGCUGCUGAGAUAUGUUAAUAAUUUCAUAUUUAUGAUGUGUAGUUAGGAACCAGUCUUUUAUGGCUGCGCUAUGGAUAGGUACACAAACGUUCUACCAAGAAUAAUUGCCAGAGAAUUUGAAUAAUUCUUUGUGGAACGUAUGUGUAUGUGCAACCUGUUCAUUUUGGGAUCUGCUUCUUUGAUCAUUUGUUUUAUUAAAAUUCCCAAAAUGUAACUCUUCCUUAUCACUCUGUAACUCUAUUAUAUAACUGUUCCCACAAUUAUUAUGAGUCGUUCAAACUUCUGUAUAAGUAUCAUUUUUAAAAUUAUAACCAAGAACCCAAAUAUUAAUAAUAUACGUUUUACGCAAUGUUUUGAAUUUUCAAGAAUAUCAUGACGCUAUCAUGCUUAAGUCAUGUUACUGAAUGUCCAUAAUAAUUGUUUUGAAAAGGACUCAUCUUGGCCACAGAGAUUGAGAUGAGAUCUUUUCGAGAUAUAUUUCAGAAUAUGACGUAUAUUUCACCAUUAUGACUACAAGAUAUGAGCCGAUCUUGCUUAUAAAAUACAAAGGCUGAUUUUCUACAAAUGCGAUGUAAUGACUUAAUAAGUAGUCAUACCUCACACCUUCCCCGCUAAAUAAAAAAAAAUUGUUUUGUUUAUAGAA